rnacentral:piRNA from 1 species
UGGUGUAUUGCUACAUCAGAGCUUGGU